rnacentral:ncRNA from 2 species
ACGUUCUCAUCGGAGUGCCUUAUUUGAAGGCUGAGAGAUAGCAACUAUCAAUCCGUAGAACCUGAACUGACUAAUAUCAGCGUAGGGAUUUGAGAAGAUCAUCAUA